GUAUGAGAAUGACUGCAUCUUUGACAAGUUCGAGUGCUGCUGGAAUGGUUCAGACAGUGCCAUUAUGACGGGGUCCUACAACAACUUCUUUAGAAUGUUUGAUAGAAACACUCGGAGGGAUGUUACACUGGAAACCUCAAGAGAGAACAGCAAGCCCCGAGCCAGCCUGAAGCCCCGGAAAGUGUGUUCAGGGGGUAAGAGGAAGAAGGAUGAGAUUAGCAUGGACAGUUUGGACUUCAAUAAGAAGAUCCUUCACACAGCCUGGCACCCCAUGGAGAGCAUUAUUGCUGUAGCUGCCACCAAUAACUUGUAUAUAUUCCAGGACAAAAUUAAUUAAGGAACUGACUGGAGGACCAAGUGUUGUCUUGCAUACAUACAUAAGCCGGUCGUUUUCCUGUCCAAAAAAGGCAUUGUCCUCUCCAUUGAGAAUAGUGACGCACUUUUACUUCCCUCAUAGACACAGGAGAAGAAGGGGUCUCAGCUGGAGUCUUGGGAGAGAUGAGUGCUGCUGCUGAAGGGAAAACCUACUUGAAGCUGAAUUGGUGGACUCUGCUCAAUAAAGGCCAUUUCUCAAAUGUAAAAAAAAAAAAAAAAAAAAA
rnacentral:lncRNA from 1 species